rnacentral:rRNA from 1 species
UACGGGGGGGGGCAAGCGUUGUUCGGAAUUACUGGGCGUAAAGGGCUCGUAGGCGGCCAACUAAGUCGGAUGUGAAAUCCCCAGGCUUAACCUGGGAACUGCAUCCGAUACUGGAUGGCUUGAAUCCGGGAGAGGGAUGCAGAAUUCCAGGUGUAGCGGUGAAAUGCGUAGAUAUCUGGAGGAACACCGGUGGCGAAGGCGGCAUCCUGGACCGGCAUUGACGCUGAGGAGCGAAAGCCAGGGGAGCAAACGGG